GCGAGAGUCUAGUGAGAGGCCCCGAGCUAACCAAGGUGAGAGGUAAAGCGCGGAGCGGCUUGGGAUCGCAACUCUCCUGAAGAGAGGACGUUGGAGUUCACUUAAGUUCCUUAUGUCCUCCCCUGAAAUUGCUUCCCUAUCAUGGGGGCAAAUGAAAGUACAAGGCUCUGCUAAAACCUAUAAGGACUGCAAAGUGUGGCCAGGGGGAAGUCGGGCUUGGGAUUGGAGAGAAACAGGAACUGAGCAUUCUCCUGGUGUGCAGCCUGCAGAUGUGGAGGAAGUUGUCAAGAAAGGUGUACAGACCCUUGUGAUUGGCCGAGGGAUGAGUGAGGCCUUGAAGGUGCCGCCGUCGACCGUGGAGUACCUCGAGAAACAAGGCAUUGAUGUGCGGGUCCUCCAGACAGAGCAGGCAGUGAAGGAGUAUAAUGCCUUGGCUGCCCAAGGCAUCAGAGUGGGAGGGGUCUUCCAUUCCACGUGCUGAUGGAGCCUUAAGAAUAAAUCACCAAGCAAAAGUGCCUUUGACUAUCACUCUUCGCACUCUCCACACGGGCCUCCCCAAGCAUUUUUCAACAGCUGUUCAUGCCAGGUCCUGUGCUAGGUUUUGGGAUGCAUGGAUGACUAAGACCAGGUCCCUCUCUGAGGUGAACUGAAAAUCCGGAGAGAAGACAGAUGCUAUUUCAGGUAUGUGGUCAGGAAAAGCCCUGUGCAGGUGGCAUAUGAGCAGACCCCCGGGUGAAGUGACAGAGCCCUCCAGUUACAGCACAGGAGGAGCUCCGCCAUGAUACUUGGGUAAGUAUACUUGGGUAUAGUAGAACAGGCAAGCUGUUCUACUAGCUAAACCUGAGCCUGGCUGGAUAGUUCCCUUUGGGCUGCAGAUUCUCUAGCUAUAAAAUGAUGGGGCUGGACUAGUUGCUCUGUAACCGCUGUGAAUAGUCUUUGUUCCUUUAAAUACCAAGUAUCUUUUGUGAAGGAUUAGAAGACAGAACUAUGAUAAAUUAUCAACAUCACCUUACUUUUCAUUCCUCCCCCUCUUUAAGGAGUUAGAGGAGUAUGGGCUUUGGUGUCAAAUAGCCUUGACUUUGAACUGUGGCUUUCUGCCACUUGCUGGUUGGGGAUUUAUUUAAUCUUUUAGAGUUGCACUGUUCUCAUCUGUCAGAUUGGGAUAAUAAUUAGUACCUGGAGUUAUUUUGUAGGUAUCAAAUGGGGGUGAUUCAUACAAUGUCUUAGCACACUGCUUUGCAUGUAGUAAGGACUCAAUAAACUGAAGCCAUUGUUAUCAUUAUAUUUUGAUUAAUGGGUCUGCUCUGUGUCAAUUAGUUUCAUUUAUGGUUCGUAAUACAGCAGCCUAUUUCAUAGGCUCAUAGAAUGCUGGAGCCCAAAGGAACUAUCGACUAUUC